AUAGACCUACCAGGAUAAAAGUCGGAAUCCUGUAGCUUGGGUAGCAGCAUAAAGGGAAACCAAAAUGUUGAAGCCUACCGACAACAUUAUCGUAGGAUAAUGGCGAAUUACCAGGCCGUAGCGAAAGCGAAUGCACAGAUUGCCUCGAAAGGAAUAUUCUGAAGGUCGAGCCAUCUUGGUACUGGCGAAGACAGAAUAGACCAGACGAAAAACGAAUGAAACGAUUGGUCUACUUCAGCGGGGUGUUAGUAAC
rfam:Wolbachia endosymbiont of Culex quinquefasciatus Pel strain wPip complete genome